UGAUUGCUUUAUAGAUUCCUCUGUGGAUUU
rnacentral:piRNA from 1 species